rnacentral:rRNA from 1 species
AUUGAACGCUGGCGGCAGGCUUAACACAUGCAAGUCGAGCGAGCGGCGGACGGGUGAGUAAUGUCUGGGAAACUGCCUGAUGGAGGGGGAUAACUACUGGAAACGGUAGCUAAUACCGCAUACCAUCAGAUGUGCCCAGAUGGGAUUAGCUAGUAGGUGGGGUAAUGGCUCACCUAGGCGACGGUCCCUAGCUGGGCUGAGAGGAUGACAGGCAACACUGGAACUGGGACACGGUCCAGACUCCUACGGGAGGAAGCAGUGGGGAAUAUUGCACAAUGGGCGCAAGCCUGAUGCAGCCAUGCCGCGUGUGUGAAGAAGGCCUUCGGGUUGUAAAGCACUUUCAGCGGGGAGGCGUUACGCGCAGAAGAAGCACCGGCUAACUCCGUGCCAGCCGCCGCGGUAAUAC